UACGGAGGGUGCAAGCGUUAUUCGGAUUUACUGGGCGUAAAGGGCGCGUAGGCGGUUGAUCAAGUCAGAUGUGAAAUCCCGGGGCUCAACCCCGGAAGUGCAUCUGAAACUGGUCGGCUUGAGUAUGGUAGAGGGAAGUGGAAUUCCUGGUGUAGCGGUGAAAUGCGUAGAUAUCAGGAGGAACACCGGUGGCGAAGGCGACUUCCUGGACCAAAACUGACGCUGAGGCGCGAAGGUGUGGGGAGCAAACAGG
rnacentral:rRNA from 1 species